rnacentral:misc_RNA from 1 species
ACCAAGGUCUCCAAGUCAUAGU